CAAGUUAUUAAGGGUGCAGGGCGGAUGCCUUGGCACUAGGAGCCGAUGAAGGACGUGAUAAGCUGCGAUAAGCUUCGGGGAGUUGCACGUAAACUUUGAUCCGAAGAUUUCCGAAUGAGGAAACUCACUUAGAGUAAUGUCUAAGUAUCAUUAAGUGAAUACAUAGCUUAAUGAGGGGAACUCAGGGAACUGAAACAUCUAAGUACCUGAAGGAAGAGAAAGAAAUUCGAUUCCGUAAGUAGCGGCGAGCGAACGCGGAUUAGCCCAAACCAAUAAAGUUUUCUUUAUUGGGGUUGCGGACAUAUCAUAACGAAGAGGUAUCGUAAUUGAAGAGGUUUGGAAAGACCCACCACAGAAGGUAAUAGUCCUGUAUGUUAAACGAGAAGACUUUAGAUAUGAUCCAGAGUACCACGGGACACGUGAAACCCUGUGGGAAGCAGGAGGGACCACCCUCCAAGGCUAAAUACUACCUAGUGACCGAUAGCGUAUAGUACCGUGAGGGAAAGGUGAAAAGAACCCCGGGAGGGGAGUGAAAUAGAACCUGAAACCCUGCACUUACAAGCUGUGGAAGCACAUUUCUUGUGUGACCGCGUACUUUUUGUAGAACGGGCCAACGAGUUACGUUAAGUAGCAAGGUUAAGCACUUAAGGUGUGGAGCCGUAGCGAAAGCGAGUUUUAACUGAGCGUUCAGUUACUUGACGUAGACCCGAAACCGGGCGACCUACCCAUGAGCAGGAUGAAGCGAAAGUAAAAAUUUCGUGGAGGUCCGAACCCACGAGCGUUGAAAAGCUCGGGGAUGACUUGUGGGUAGCGGUGAAAUUCCAAUCGAGCCCGGAGAUAGCUGGUUCUCCCCGAAAUAGCUUUAGGGCUAGCCUCAAGGUGAGAGAUACGGAGGUAGAGCACUGAAUGUCCUAGGGGGUAUUGCACCUACCGAAGACUAUCAAACUCCGAAUGCCGUCAUCUUAUACUUGGGAGUCAGACUGUGGGUGAUAAGAUUCAUAGUCGAAAGGGCAACAGCCCAGAUCGUCAGCUAAGGUCCCUAAAUGUAAGUUAAGUGGUAAAGGAUGUGGGAUUGCACAGACAACCAGGAUGUUGGCUUAGAAGCAGCCACUCAUUCAAAGAGUGCGUAAUAGCUCACUGGUCGAGUGAUCCUGCGCCGAAGAUUUCCGGGGCUAAAACUUACUACCGAAGCUACGGCAUCAGUAAUGAUGGGUAGGGGAGCUUCCCAUACGGGUUGAAGCAUGACCGUAAGGACAUGUGGACAGUAUGGGAGUGAGAAUGUUGGCAUGAGUAGCGAGAUGUGGGUGAGAAUCCCACAGGCCGUAAACCCAAGGUUUCCAGGGGAAGGUUCGUCCGCCCUGGGUUAGUCGGGACCUAAGCUGAGGCCGAAAGGCGUAGGUGAUGGACAACAGGUUGAUAUUCCUGUACUACCGAUAACCGUUUGAGAGAAGGGAUGACACAGUAGGAUAAGCUAAGCACACUGUUGGUUAUGUGUGCCCAAGCAUUGAGGCAGUCAAAGCAGGCAAAUCCGCUUUGAUAAUGCUGGGAUGUGAUGGGGAGCGAAAUUUAGUAGCGAAGUAGCUGAUUUCACACUGUCAAGAAAAGUCUCUAUCGAGGUUAAAGGUACCCGUACCGCAAACCGACACAGGUGGGUGAGGAGAGUAUCCUAAGGCCAGCGAGAGAACUGUUGUUAAGGAACUCGGCAAAAUGACCCCGUAACUUAGGGAUAAGGGGUGCCACCAUCAGGUGGCCGCAGAGAAUAGGCCCAAGCGACUGUUUACCAAAAACAUAGGUUUCUGCUAAGUCGCAAGACGAUGUAUAGGAGCUGACGCCUGCCCGGUGCUGGAAGGUUAAGGGGAUCUGUUAGAGCAAUCGAAGCAGUGAACUUAAGCCCCAGUAAACGGCGGCCGUAACUAUAACGGUCCUAAGGUAGCGAAAUUCCUUGUCGGGUAAGUUCCGACCCGCACGAAAGGCGUAACGAUUUGGGCACUGUCUCAACAACAGACUCGGUGAAAUUGUAAUUCCGGUGAAGAUGCCGGAUACCUGCGACAGGACGGAAAGACCCCAUGGAGCUUUACUGUAGCUUGACAUUGGGUCUUGGUACUACAUGUACAGGAUAGGUGGGAGGCUUUGAAACCAGGACGCCAGUUUUGGCGGAGCCAUCCUUGGGAUACCACCCUUGUAGUACUGGGACUCUAACCAUAGGCCAUGAAUCUGGUCUUGGGACACUGUCAGGUGGGCAGUUUGACUGGGGCGGUCGCCUCCCAAAAGGUAACGGAGGCGCUCAAAGGUUCUCUCAGUACGGUCGGAAAUCGUACGUAGAGUGUAAAGGCAAAAGAGAGCUUGAUUGCAAGACAUACAGGUCGAGCAAGGAUGAAAAUCGGACUUAGUGAUCCGGUGGUUCUGCGUGGAAGGGCCAUCGCUCAACGGAUAAAAGCUACCCUGGGGAUAACAGGCUUAUCUCCCCCAAGAGUCCACAUCGACGGGGAGGUUUGGCACCUCGAUGUCGGCUCAUCACAUCCUGGGGCUGUAGUAGGUCCCAAGGGUUGGGCUGUUCGCCCAUUAAAGUGGUACGCGAGCUGGGUUCAGAACGUCGUGAGACAGUUCGGUCCCUAUCCGUCGCAGGCGUAGGAAAUUUGAGAAGACCUGUCCUUAGUACGAGAGGACCGGGAUGGACGUACCUCUGGUGUACCAGUUGUUCUGCCAAGGGCAUGGCUGGGUAGCUAUGUACGGAAUGGAUAAGCGCUGAAAGCAUCUAAGCGCGAAGCCAACUUCAAGAUAAGAUUUCCCACCGCAAGGGUAAGACCCCAGAAAGACUAUCUGGUUGAUAGGUCGAAGGUGUAAGUGCAGCAAUGUAUUUAGCUUAUCGAUACUAAUAGGUCGAGGACUUGACCA
rnacentral:rRNA from 1 species